GACGAACGCUGGCGGCGUGCUUAACACAUGCAAGUCGAGCGGAAAGGCCCUUUCGGGGGUACUCGAGCGGCGAACGGGUGAGUAACACGUGGGUGAUCUGCCCUGCACUUUGGGAUAAGCCUGGGAAACUGGGUCUAAUACCGAAUACACCUCGCUGGUUGCAUGACCUGGUGGGGAAAGCUUUUGCGGUGUGGGAUGGGCCCGCGGCCUAUCAGCUUGUUGGUGGGGUGAUGGCCUACCAAGGGCGACGACGGUAGCCGGCCUGAGAGGGUGUCCGGCCACACUGGGACUGAGAUACGGCCCAGACUCCUACGGGAGGCGAGCAGUGGGGAAUAUUGCACAAUGGGCGCAAGCCUGAUGCAGCGACGCCGCGUGGGGA
rnacentral:rRNA from 1 species